rnacentral:rRNA from 1 species
CGCGGUAAUUCCAGCUCCAAUAGCGUAUAUUAAAGUUGUUGUGGUUAAAAAGCUCGUAGUUGGAUCUCAACAGCCUUGAAGCGGCUAACUUUGUAGUUUUACUGCUUUAUAGGCUGUGCUUUUGCUGGAGGUUUAGGGGUGCUCUUGAUCGAGUGUCUCUGGAUGCCAGCAGGUUUACUUUGAAAAAAUUAGAGUGCUCAAAGCAGGCUAAAAUGCCUGAAUAUUCGUGCAUGGAAUAAUAGAAUAGGAUGUCGAUCCUAUUUUGUUGGUUUUCGGGACUCGACAUAAUGAUAAAUAGGGACAGUCGGGGGCAUUUGUAUUCAAACGACAGAGGUGAAAUUCUUGGACCGUUUGAAGACAAACUACUGCGAAAGCAUUUGCCAAGAAUGUUUUCAUUAAUCAAGAACGAAAGUUAGAGGUUCGAAGGCGAUUAGAUACCGCCCUAGUUCUAACCAUAAACGAUGCCAGCUAGCGAUCUGCCUGCGUUUUUACUGUAGACUGGGCAGGAAGCUUCCGGGAAACCAAAGCAUUUGGGUUCCAGGGGAAGUAUGGUUGCAAAGCUGAAACUUAAAGGAAUUGACGGAAGGGCACCACCAGGAGUGGAGCCUGUGGCUUAAUUUGACUCAACACGGGAAAUCUCACCAGGCCCGGACACUGGAAGGAUUGACAGAUUGAUAGCUCUUUCUUGAUUCGGUGGGUGGUGGUGCAUGGGCCGUUCUUAGUUGGUGGAGUGAUUUGUCUGGUUAAUUCCGAUAACGAACGGGACUCUGUCCUGCUAAAUAGUUUCUACUUCUCUUUUGAGUAGAAAUUUCUUCUUAGAGGGACUGGUGACUCUUAGUCACACGAGAUUGAGCAAUAACAGGUCUGUGA